CAAUCAGCCCUUUUCAGGGCUACCAACAAAUAACGUAGAAAAACUU
rfam:Nasonia vitripennis chromosome 3 unlocalized genomic scaffold Chr3_random045, whole genome shotgun sequence.